UACGUAGGGUGCAAGCGUUAAUCGGAAUUACUGGGCGUAAAGCGUGCGCAGGCGGUUAUGCAAGACAGAUGUGAAAUCCCCGGGCUCAACCUGGGAACUGCAUUUGUGACUGCAUAGCUGGAGUGCGGCAGAGGGGGAUGGAAUUCCGCGUGUAGCAGUGAAAUGCGUAGAUAUGCGGAGGAACACCGAUGGCGAAGGCAAUCCCCUGGGCCUGUACUGACGCUCAUGCACGAAAGCGUGGGGAGCAAACAGG
rnacentral:rRNA from 1 species